GAUGAACGCUGGCGGCGUGCUUUAACACAUGCAAGUCGAACGGGAAACAUUUUAUUGAAGCUUCGGCAGAUUUAGCUUGUUUCCAGUGGCGGACGGGUGAGUAACGCGUGGGGUAACCUGCCUCACACUGGGGGAUAACAGUCAGAAAUGACUGCUAAUACCGCAUAAGCGCACGGAACCGCAUGGGUUUUUGUGUGAAAAAACUCCGGUGGUGUGAGAUGGAACCCGCGUUGGAUUAGCCAGUUGGCAGGGUAACGG
rnacentral:rRNA from 1 species